CAUCUAACAAUGACAGUGUUGGAAAAGUGAUAUCUCUUCUCAAAAGAGCCAUAAAAGAAGAGCGGUACCAUGAUGCAGCUUUUUUAAGAGAUAAAGCUGGUGCUGGACUUGUGAGUUCUUAUGGAAUUUAUUUAAUGGCAACUUGCAUGAAUGUCUUUGAAUUGUGGUGGAAUUAGAAUGUCAGAUGCAAUGUCAUAGGGCGGCCCCAGUAAUACAUAUUGGUGCUGAAAUUGCUAUUACCCGGGUUGAUAAUUUGUUUUUGACAUCAAGACAACACUUUCCUCACCACUUCACUUAUGAAACCAAUAACUAAAUUGAGCUACACCAAAAUCAGUUCUUGAGCUUAUGGAUGUAAAGGAUCUAACUCUAUCACAUGUUAAAUCUCAUUUGCAGGUAUAAUUAUCUUCAACUCCUUCAUUGCAAUAGAUCACUAAACAUAGUUUAGUUAUAAUUAUAAUUACAUUAUUAUGAUGUUGUUAAUAUGUUGAGUAGUGUUGUGAGGUUGCGUCACAGAAAAACUUUUAGGAUUUUGGUCGGUAUAGAUGUUGCGAAGUUGCGAUACCGUAGUUUUUGCUGUUGCAGACGGUUUUCUAAUCCUUGUG